rnacentral:sRNA from 12 species
CUUGAAAAAUAAACACUAUGAUAACUCAGUGCAGAUUGAAUGCGAUGUUCAAGCUGAGAAUACUCGGAUAGGGCUCGGGAGUACACGAAUCAAGGAUACUUGAGGAAACUCGUCCGCUUUGUUUAAAGCGAUUUAAGCAAAGAAUCCCAGUGGGGAGAAAGUAAAGAGUAUGUGCUUCAAUUAUCGUACAUAAAGGAUGCCGUGGAAAGGUGCGUGCAAUAGACAGCUUAGUGAAUAGCUAAGCCGAAUCCAAGUUAGGUGUUAGUUGGUGACUGUCACAGACCUUGGAAAUACCAACAAACGCAUGGGCGGUGAUGGAGUUGAAAAAUUCCUAUAACUUUCUACAGCGACAGAGUAGCGGAACGCCAAGACUUGAAGAAUCAAAUUUAGAUUGAUAUUCUAAAAAUAAAUUAAUUUUCUGAAUAUCCCGUGAAAUGUGUUUGGUAAUCAGUCCAACAGUGACUAUGCGGUUUCGGCCGGAGGCAAGAAGUUUUAAGACGACGGUUUUAAGGCUCAGACUUGUUUCUCACUUGUCUGAAUAUAUGUAAAGAUAAAAUGAGGUAAGGCGAAGGCCUAUCAUAAUAGUGUUUAUUUU